UGUGUGUGUGUGUGUGUGUGUGUGUGUGUGUGUGUGUGUGUGUAGUGCUGUGCCCACACCCACCACCCCCCCCCCCCCCCCCACACA
rnacentral:miRNA from 1 species